rnacentral:snRNA from 1 species
AUCGCUUCUCGGCCUUUUGGCUAAGAUCAUGUGUAGUAUCUGUUCUUAUCAGUUUAAAAUAAUGAUAAUUGGGACACCUGGGUGGCUCAGUCGGUUAAGUGUCUGAGUCUUGAUUUUAGCUCAGGUCAUAAUCUCAUGGUUUGUGAGAGAGAGCUCUACAGCCUGCUCAGUGGUGACAAUGUGGAGCCUGCUUGGAUUCGCUCUCUCCCGCU